rnacentral:rRNA from 1 species
AGUGAACGCUGGCGGUAGGCCUAACACAUGCAAGUCGAACGGCAGCACAGGAGAGCUUGCUCUCUGGGUGGCGAGUGGCGGACGGGUGAGGAAUACAUCGGAAUCUACUCUGCCGUGGGGGAUAACGUAGGGAAACUUACGCUAAUACCGCAUACGACCUACGGGUGAAAGCAGGGGACCUUCGGGCCUUGCGCGAUUGAAUGAGCCGAUGUCGGAUUAGCUAGUUGGCGGGGUAAAGGCCCACCAAGGCGACGAUCCGUAGCUGGUCUGAGGGGAUGAACAGCCACACUGGAACUGAGACACGGUCCAGACUCCUACGGGAGGCAGCAGUGGGGAAUAUUGGACAAUGGGCGCAAGCCUGAUCCAGCCAUACCGCGUGGGUGAAGAAGGCCUUCGGGUUGUAAAGCCCUUUUGUUGGGAAAGAAAUCCAGCUGGCUAAUACCCGGUUGGGAUGACGGUACCCAAAGAAUAAGCACCGGCUAACUUCGUGCCAGCCGCCGCAGUAA